GGCACCAAUCACUAGAAAAAUCGAUAUAGGAUUUUAAUAAUUAGUGAUGAACC
rnacentral:snRNA from 2 species